AUGAACAUCGCCCUCCUGACCCGGUGGCUGUGGCGUAUCGCCUAUGGUGACGGAGGGCUAUGGCUCACCAUCAUCUGCAGCAAAUAUCUUCGUGGUCAGCCUCUAGCUUUCUGUCAAAGCUCGGGCGGAUCCCAGUUCUGGCAGGCUGUCGUGCAGUUGCUCCCCGUACUUCGUAUCGGCAUGUCCAUCUCGGUUGGUACUGGGUCUGCGACCCUAUUCUGGUUCGAUCGGUGGCUCGGUGAAGCCCCUCUGGCCGCCCGCUUUCCCGAUCUCUUCGCCAUUGCUGUUGACCCUCGGGUCUCUGUUGAGACGGCCCUUAUUGACUUAGGGCGCCUCGCGUUCCGUCGCCCUUUCGGGCCCCUGGAAGUGGCCGCCUGGGACUCCCUCCUCCAGGACAUCGCCCUUCUCCCGAUGAGUGUUACUGACGCCCCGGAUGCCAUCUCGUGGCGCCUAGAGGCCUCCGGCCGUUUCUCUACUAGGUCCCUGUACGCGGCCAUCGCGCCUUCGCCCGCUCCCGAGCCCUUUGGACUCAUAUGGACAUCCGGCUGCCUCUAA
rnacentral:rRNA from 1 species